UCCUACGGGAGGCAGCAGUGGGGAAUAUUGCACAAUGGGCGAAAGCCUGAUGCAGCGACGCCGCGUGAGGGAUGAAGGCCUUCGGGUUGUAAACCUCUUUCAGCAGGGAAGAAGCGCAAGUGACGGUACCUGCAGAAGAAGCACCGGCUAACUACGUGCCAGCAGCCGCGGUAAUACGUAGGGUGCAAGCGUUGUCCGGAAUUAUUGGGCGUAAAGAGCUUGUAGGCGGUUUGUCGCGUCUGCUGUGAAAUUUCGGGGCUCAACCCCGAACUUGCAGUCGGUACGGGCAGACUAGAGUGUGGUAGGGGAGACUGGAAUUCCUGGUGUAGCGGUGAAAUGCGCAGAUAUCAGGAGGAACACCGAUGGCGAAGGCAGGUCUCUGGGCCACUACUGACGCUGAGAAGCGAAAGCAUGGGGAGCGAACAGGAUUAGAUACCCUGGUAGUCCAUGCCGUAAACGUUGGGAACUAGGUGUGGGCCUCAUUCCACGAGGUCCGUGCCGCAGCUAACGCAUUAAGUUCCCCGCCUGGGGAGUACGGCCGCAAGGCUAAAACUCAAAGGAAUUGACGGGGGCCCGCACAAGCGGCGGAGCAUGCGGAUUAAUUCGAUGCAACGCGAAGAACCUUACCAAGGCUUGACAUGUGCCGGAAAAGUGCAGAGAUGUGCUCCCCGCAAGGUCGGUACACAGGUGGUGCAUGGUUGUCGUCAGCUCGUGUCGUGAGAUGUUGGGUUAAGUCCCGCAACGAGCGCAACCCUCGUUCUAUGUUGCCAGCACGUGAUGGUGGGGACUCAUAGGAGACUGCCGGGGUCAACUCGGAGGAAGGUGGGGAUGACGUCAAAUCAUCAUGCCCCUUAUGUCCUGGGCUACACACGUACUACAAUGGCAACAACAGAGGGCAGCCAGGCCGCGAGGUCGAGCGAAUCCCAAAAUGUUGUCUCAGUUCAGAUUGCAGGCUGAAACUCGCCUGCAUGAAGUCGGAAUUGCUAGUAAUGGCAGGUCAGCAUACUGCCGUGAAUACGUUCCCGGGCCUUGUACACACCGCCAU
rnacentral:rRNA from 1 species